rnacentral:snRNA from 1 species
AUCACUUCUCAGUCUUUUGAAUAAGAUCAAGUGUAGUAUCUGCUCUUAUGAGUUUAAUACCUGAUCGUCCUCUAUCUGAGGACAGUAUAUUAAAUGGAUUUUGGAGCAGGGACUUGGAAUAGGAGCUUGCUCCAUCCACUCCAAGCAUCAGCCUGGUAUUUCAGUACUUCCAAGAAUGGUGCAUCCUCU